GACGAACGCUGGCGGCGUGCUUAACACAUGCAAGUCGAACGGACAGGCCCUGCUCUUGUGGGGUGCUCGUGUGCCGCACGGGGGAGUAACACAUGUGUAACAUCCCCUUAACUGUCGGAUAUAUUCUGGGAACUGGGGCGCAUAUCGGAUAUGAGCUACUGCUCCGUGUGGUUGGUUGGUAAGUUUCGGCGGUGGUGGCUGGUUUGGCGGCUUAUCAGCUGCUUGGUGGGGUAGUGGCGGUCCAAGGCUUUGACGGGUAGCCGGCCUGAGAGGGUUGCCGGCGACAUGGGUACUGAGAGACGGACCAGACGCCUACGGGAGGCAGCAGUGGAGAAUAUUGCGCAAUGGGGGGAAGCCUGAUGCAGCAACGCCGCGUGCGGGAUGACGGCCUUCGGGUGGUAAACCGCUUUCGACGGUGACGAAGCGUGAGUGACGGUAAUGGGUAAAGAAGCACCGGCUAACUACGUG
rnacentral:rRNA from 1 species